rnacentral:rRNA from 1 species
GACGAACGCUGGCGGCGUGCCUAAUACAUGCAAGUUGAGCGAUGAAGAUUGGUGCUUGCACCAAUUUGAAGAGCAGCGAACGGGUGAGUAACGCGUGGGGAAUCUGCCUUUGAGCGGGGGACAACAUUUGGAAACGAAUGCUAAUACCGCAUAACAACUUUAAACAUAAGUUUUAAGUUUGAAAGAUGCAAUUGCAUCACUCAAAGAUGAUCCCGCGUUGUAUUAGCUAGUUGGUGAGGUAAAGGCUCACCAAGGCGAUGAUACAUAGCCGACCUGAGAGGGUGAGCGGCCACAAUGGGACUGAGACACGGCCCAAACUCCUACGGGAGGCAGCAGUAGGGAAUCGUCGGCAAUGGACGAAAGUCUGACCGAGCAACGCCGCGUGAGGGAAGAAGGGUUUCGGAUCGUAAAACUCUGUUGGUAGAGAAGAACGUUGGUGAGAGUGGAAAGCUCAUCAAGUGACGGUAACUACCCAGAAAGGGACGGCUAACUACGUG